rnacentral:misc_RNA from 1 species
GAUGAAGAACGCAGCAAAAUGCGAUAAGUAAUGUGAAUUGCAGAAUUCAGUGAAUCAUCGAAUCUUUGAACGCACAUUGCGCCUGCCAGUAUUCUGGCGGGCAUGCCUGUUCGAGCGUCAUUUCAACCCUCAAGCACAGCUUGGUGUUGGGACUCGCGUUAAUUCGCGUUCCUCAAAUUGAUUGGCGGUCACGUCGAGCUUCCAUAGCGUAGUAGUAAAACCCUCGUUACUGGUAAUCGUCGCGGCCACGCCGUUAAACCCCAACUUCUGAAUGUUGACCUCGGAUCAGGUAGGAAUACCCGCUGAACUUAAGCAUAUCAAUAAGCGGAGGA